rnacentral:rRNA from 1 species
AAACCNUUCGGGGGUAAACGGACANAGCCCGUGAAUCCGGGCGACGGAAUUCAGAAUCGACGGCGUUCACGCGUCGUCGGUUCGAUAUUUCCGCCGCCGCCAUUUUAACGGACGUCGCGACCCGUUCGGUGUCGGUCUGCAGGAGACGUGCGAAAGUUCGUGGGCGUCGGUUGGGUUUCGGCUCGAUCGGCGUUCGCGAGUGCGCGUUUUUUUUCUGGCCGACUCGCCGGACGGUAAGCGAAGCGGUGGUCGCGGCGGCCUUUAGUUAGCGCCGUCGCGUUACCGGUCUGCGACGAAUCUUCGGGCCUCUUUCCGA